UAUAUAACUUUAAAAAUAAAAAUCAGCUUAAAUUAAAAUGUGAUAUAUAUAUAUCUAUUCUAUAUAAAGUGUGCCUAUAUAACAGAAUUCUUGGUUUAUGAGAAAUUCAUGGGUCAAUUUUUUUAUUUUUUUUAAGUUUUCUAUUAAAAAUAAUAAUUUUUUCCAACAAAUUCUCUUAAUCAAUUUAUUUAGCUAUUUAAUAAUAGGAUCAUAUUUAUAAAUUUUUGGCCGAUUUUAGUGAAUGGCAUAACAAAAUUAAACACGACUUUAUCUCCAAAUUCAGAUUUCAUCCUCUCUCCAAAUUCAGAUUUGUGUUCUCCAAACGUAAAGUUAACGUGCCGCUUAUAAUCUGAAAAUAAAGUCUUGCAGCCAAUCCCACUCCCAAUCCGAUUUCAAUGAAUGACAUAACAAAAAAUACGACUUUAUCUCUAAAUUCAGAUUUAACCCUCUCUCCAAAUUCAGAUUUGUGUUCUCCAAAUUCGAGCCAUUCGCUUGCAAAAAGUUAAUAAUUCUGGCCCCGCCGCCACUAUUGACUCAACUCCCUUAAACGACGAUGUUAUUCCAAACUUCUUCUACAACCAAGCAAAAAGGGUCAUCAAUAACUCUAAUUGGCCAUCGUCCUCGGCAACAACAAUCGUUGUCGACCCCCUCAAUCGUCCAUUCUCCAACUCUGCCCCAGCUGUAUUUGCAGUAUAUAUACAUAUAUAAUUUAUUUAUUGAAUAAUUUUUAAUAUGUGGGUAGCUCCUUCAUUCACUCCCUCAUCAGUCACUCUGUAAUCUCUCUCAAUUAUUCAUAAUUUAAUCGCAGGAAAUUUUUGCUUUCC